GCCUUCCGAGUUCCCUGGAACGGGACGCCAUAGAGGGUGAGAGCCCCGUACGGUUGGACACCAAGCCUUUGUAAAGCUCCUUCGACGAGUCGAGUAGUUUGGGAAUGCUGCUCAAAAUGGGAGGUAUAUUUCUUCUAAAGCUAAAUAUUGGCCAGAGACCGAUAGCGCACAAGUAGAGUGAUCGAAAGAUGAAAAGCACUUUGAAAAGAGGGUUAAACAGCACGUGAAAUUGUUGAAAGGGAAGCGCUUGUGACCAGACUUGCGCCCGGUGAAUCACCCAGCUCUCGCGGCUGGGGCACUUUGCCGGCACAGGCCAGCAUCAGCU
rnacentral:rRNA from 1 species